CAGGUGGGGUCUCACCUGAGUGGGGCAGAGGGGCAGAAUCCCCCUCCCCUGCUGCCCACACUGGGGACCAGCCCAGCACAGGGGGGCUCUGGGCCAGCUCUCACCCCCCAGCACCCCAAGUGCUUCUCCCAGAGCUGCUCUCCAUCCCUUCAUCCCCAGCCUGGAUUGAUCCUGGGCGUUGCCCCAACACAGGUGCAGCACCUGCUCUUGGCUUUGUUGAACCUCAUGAGAUUCCCCAAGGCCAUUGACUGAGCUUGUCCUGAUUCCUCUGGAUUCCACACUGUUCCUCAGUCAUGGAGCAGGAGCACACGGAAGGCAAGCACGUUGCUGCAGGUCACAGUGCAGGUUUGUGUGAAAGCCAAGGGCUGUUUAAACCCCACCACUGGUGUCUCAUUCUCUCCUCAGAUCCCCAAGGACCCGACGCAGCGAUGGCUCCGGGAACUCGCUGCAUUGAGCCAGCAGCUGCAGCAGGUUCACCCCAAUGUCCUGGCCAAGAUCCUUAAACAGAGAACUGUAUACCAGAAUGAGGAGAUUGUGGUGAUAGACAAACCCUAUGGGCUUCCUGUGCACGGUGGCCCCGGCAUCAAGAACUGCAUCGCUGAUGUGCUGCCAAUUUUGGCCAAGAUGCUGGAGAACAUGAAGGCUGAGCCUCUCCACCUCUGCCACCGGCUGGACAAGGAGACCACAG
rnacentral:lncRNA from 12 species